UUCGGAUUGUAGUCUGCAACCCGACUACAUGAAGCCGGAAUCGCUAGUAAUCGCGGAUCAGAAUGCCGCGGUGAAUACGUUCCCGGGUCUUGUACACACCGCCCGUCACACCAUGGGAGUCGGAAAUGCCCGAAGUCUGUGACCCAACCGUAAGGAGGGAGCAGCCGAAGGCAGGUCGGAUGACUGGGGUGAAGUCGUAACAAGGUAAC
rnacentral:rRNA from 1 species